UGCAUGUCUAAGUAUAAGCAAUUAUACCGUGAAACUGCGAAUGGCUCAUUAAAUCAGUUAUCGUUUAUUUGAUAGUACCUUACUACUUGGAUACCCGUGGUAAUUCUAGAGCUAAUACAUGCAAAAAACCCCAACUUCGGGAGGGGUGUAUUUAUUAGAUAAAAAACCAAUGCCCUUCGGGGCUCCUUGGUGAUUCAUAAUAACUUAACGGAUCGCAUGGCCUUGCGCCGGCGACGGUUCAUUCAAAUUUCUGCCCUAUCAACUUUCGAUGGUAAGGUAUUGGCUUACCAUGGUUUCAACGGGUAACGGAUUUUUAGGGAAAGAUCCCGGAGAGGGAGCCUGAGAAACGGCUACCACAUCCAAGGAAGGCAGCAGGCGCGCAAAUUACCCAAUCCCGACACGGGGAGGUAGUGACAAUAAAUACUGAUACAGGGCUCUUUUGGGUCUUGUAAUCGGAAUGAGUACAAUUUAAAUACCUUAACGAGGAACAAUUGGAGGGCAAGUCUGGUGCCAGCAGCCGCGGUAAUUCCAGCUCCAAUAGCGUAUAUUAAAGUUGUUGCAGUUAAAAAGCUCGUAGUUGAACCUUGGGCCUGGCUGGCCGGUCCGCCUCACCGCGUGUACUGGUCCGGCCGGGCCUUUCCUUCUGGAGAACCGCAUGCCCUUCACUGGGUGUGUCGGGGAACCAGGACUUUUACUUUGAGAAAAUUAGAGUGUUCAAAGCAGGCCUUUGCUUGAAUACGUUAGCAUGGAAUAAUAGAAUAGGACGUGCGGUCCUAUUUUGUUGGUUUCUAGAACCGCCGUAAUGAUUAAUAGGGAUAGUCGGGGGCGUCAGUAUUCAAUUGUCAGAGGUGAAAUUCUUGGAUCUAUUGAAGACUAACUACUGCGAAAGCAUUCGCCAAGGAUGUUUUCAUUAAUCAGUGAACGAAAGUUAGGGGAUCGAAGACGAUCAGAUACCGUCGUAGUCUUAACCGUAAACUAUGCCGACUAGGGAUCGGGCGAUGUUUCUAUAUUGACUCGCUCGGCACCCUACGAGAAAUCA
rnacentral:rRNA from 1 species